ensembl:lncRNA
CUUUUCUGUUUCCUCUUUAGGCCGUUGCCCUGCCUCCGGCUCUUGCUCCGCCCUCCAGCCUCCCCCCUCCUCUGAUUUUAGAGCAUCCAGGGCCUCACUCCAGGGCAGACACCAGCUGGUCUUUGAGCAGAGGGAAGGUGACAGUUUCAGCGCAGGCUCCAGGCCCUGGAACUCUGAGCUGCCAUGUGCUACUCCAAGGUCGUGUCACGUGUAUCACAACUUAAGGACAGUAUUAAUGAGAACCUGCUGGAUGCCCUCGAUCUUCUUCAUGAGAGCAACAGCCCAGACUCCACUUCUCUCCCUCCUCGGGUGAAGCUGGAGUUACGUCAAAGAAUCCAGGGUGGCUCUGGCUCCUUCUCUGAAGAUGAGGAUCUUGAGAGCCUGACGUCCCAGAAUGGUGGACAUAAGAUGAAAAAUGCCUCCUUGGAGACUGUUAAAUCCAAAAUGAAACUGGAAUUCCAGACAUUCCUUGAUGAUAUCACAGAUUUGUUCUCAGAAAAUGGAGAUGCUAAUUUUUGGGACAAGAUGCUGAAAUGUUUCCAGGAGAUGCUUCAUUGGGUGAAGAAGAAGUGGCUGGAGGUGCUGGCCUGGGUGAAACAGACCCUGGGCAGAGCACUGGAGGCCAUUUGUAACACAUUCAAGACUUUCCUGAAUUGUCUGGCAGAGUUCUUCCAAUGGUUCCAGUGA